UUUAUUGGAGAGUUUGAUCCUGGCUCAGGAUGAACGCUGGCGGCGUGCCUAAUACAUGCAAGUCGAGCGAAUAGAUUAAGAGCUUGCUCUUAUGAAGUUAGCGGCGGACGGGUGAGUAACACGUGGGUAACCUGCCCAUAAGACUGGGAUAACUCCGGGAAACCGGGGCUAAUACCGGAUAAUAUUUUGAACUGCAUGGUUCGAAAUUGAAAGGCGGCUUCGGCUGUCACUUAUGGAUGGACCCGCGUCGCAUUAGCUAGUUGGUGAGGUAACGGCUCACCAAGGCAACGAUGCGUAGCCGACCUGAGAG
rnacentral:rRNA from 1 species